rnacentral:rRNA from 1 species
CCUACGGGUGGCAGCAGUGAGGAAUAUUGGUCAAUGGGCGGAAGCCUGAACCAGCCAAGUAGCGUGCAGGAUGACGGCCCUACGGGGUGUAAACUGCGUUUAUACGGGAAUAACGCGCCUUACGUGUAGGGCUUUGCAUGUAACGUAUGAAUAAGGACCGGCUAAAUCCGGGCCAGCAGCCGCGGUAAUACUGAAGGUCCGGGCGGUAUCCGGAUUUAUUGGGUUGAAAGGGGGCGAAGGCCGCAUGUCAAGCGUGCUGUGAAAUGUCCGGGCUCAACCCGGGCCUUGCAGCGCGAACUGGCGUGCUUGAGUCCGCGGAAAGCAGGCGGAAUUCGUCGUGUAGCGGUGAAAUGCUUAGAUAUGACGAAGAACCCCGAGUGCGAAGGCAGCUUGCUGCAGCGGAACUGACGCUGAUGCUCGAAAGCGCGGGUAUCGAACAGGAUUAGAUACCCUUGUAGUC